rnacentral:tRNA from 1 species
GGUAAAGUAAGCUAAAUACCAAGCUAUCGGGUUCAUACCCCGAAAAUGGGUAAUUACCCCUUUACCA